GGUGACAUGUGUAGAACAGCAGCUCCUGACUGGUUCAGUGUGUUUGCAUAUGUGUGCUGCCUCUCUGCUUCCAGCAGUUAAAGCUCAGUGUUGAUCAGUGGCUGUCCAGACCUUUCAGAGACUCGGACUCGCCCGCAGCACAAUGAUGAUGUCACUGACUCUGCUGCUCUUCACCCUGGAGCUCCUCGUUCAGGCUUCAUCAGGAGAACUCCUGACUCAGACUCCUGGAGCUCAGUCUGUAGUUCAAGGACAGACUGUCUCCAUCCAAUGUAAAACUAGUCAAAGCCCUAGCCACUGGUUUAACUGGUAUCUUCAGAAACAAGGAGAAGUCCCUAAACUUCUAAUUUAUUCUACAAGCACUCGUCAGUCUGGAGUUUCUGAUCGUUUCAGUGGAUCAAACUCUGGAUUAGAUUACACUCUGACCAUCAGUGGAGUUCAGCCUGAAGAUUCAGGAGUUUAUUACUGUCAGACUGGCCACAGCAUCAACAGUCAGUAUGUGUUCACACAGUGAAAAACCGUCGGAGCGGCGGAGGUGACUGAUACGCCUAGUGCUGGUG